rnacentral:tRNA from 1 species
GGAAAUGGCUCAGUGGUAGAGUGCAUGCUUAGUGUGCCCAAGAUCCUGGGUUCAAUCCCCAGUACUUCCA